rnacentral:rRNA from 1 species
AAUCCAUAGGUUAAUGAGGCGAACCGGGGGAACUGAAACAUCUAAGUACCCCGAGGAAAAGAAAUCAACCGAGAUUCCCCCAGUAGCGGCGAGCGAACGGGGAGGAGCCCAGAGCCUGAAUCAGCAUGUGUGUUAGUGGAAGCGUCUGGAAAGGCGCGCGAUACAGGGUGACAGCCCCGUACACAAAAGCGCAUGUGCUGUGAGCUCGAUGAGUAGGGCGGGACACGUGGUAUCCUGUCUGAAUAUGGGGGGACCAUCCUCCAAGGCUAAAUACUCCUGACUGACCGAUAGUGAACCAGUACCGUGAGGGAAAGGCGAAAAGAACCCCGGCGAGGGGAGUGAAAAAGAACCUGAAACCGUGUACGUACAAGCAGUGGGAGCACAGGUUUACCUGUGUGACUGCGUACCUUUUGUAUAAUGGGUCAGCGACUUAUAUUCUGUAGCAAGGUUAACCGUAUAGGGGAGCCGUAGGGAAACCGAGUCUUAACCGGGCGUUAAGUUGCAGGGUAUAGACCCGAAACCCGGUGAUCUAGCCAUGGGCAGGUUGAAGGUUGGGUAACACUAACUGGAGGACCGAACCGACUAAUGUUGAAAAAUUAGCGGAUGACCUGUGGCUGGGGGUGAAAGGCCAAUCAAACCGGGAGAUAGCUGGUUCUCCCCGAAAGCUAUUUAGGUAGCGCCUCGUGAAUUCAUCUCCGGGGGUAGAGCACUGUUUCGGCUAGGGGGCCAUCCCGGCUUACCAACCCGAUGCAAACUGCGAAUACCGGAGAAUGUUAUCACGGGAGACACACGGCGGGUGCUAACGUCCGUCGUGAAGAGGGAAACAACCCAGACCGCCAGCUAAGGUCCCAAAGUCAUGGUUAAGUGGGAAACGAUGUGGGAAGGCCCAGACAGCCAGGAUGUUGGCUUAGAAGCAGCCAUCAUUUAAAGAAAGCGUAAUAGCUCACUGGUCGAGUCGGCCUGCGCGGAAGAUGUAACGGGGCUAAACCAUGCACCGAAGCUGCGGCAGCGACACUCAGGUGUUGUUGGGUAGGGGAGCGUUCUGUAAGCCUGUGAAGGUGUGUCGUGAGGC